GAUGAACGCUGGCGGCGUGCUUAAUACAUGCAAGUCGAACGAGGUGCUUUUGUAGCAAUACGGAAGUAUCCUAGUGGCGAACGGGUGAGUAACGCGUUGGUGACCUACCCCGAAGUGUGGGAUAACAGUCCGAAAGGAUUGCUAAUACCGCAUGUGGUCCCCGGAUCUAGAAACCGGUGACUAAAGCAGCAAUGCGCUUUGGGAGGGACCUGCGUCCCAUCAGCUAGUUGGUGAGGUAACGGCUCACCAAGGCGUCGACGGGUAAGGGACCUGAGAGGGUGGUCCCUCACAAUGGCACUGAAACACGGGCCAUACACCUACGGGUGGCAG
rnacentral:rRNA from 1 species